CCCUUAGAUGUUCUGGGCCGCACACGCGCUACACUGAAGGAGGCAGCGUGUACUCCUGGAUCGAAAGAUUUGGGUAACCCGCGAAUCUCCUUCGUGCUAGGGAUUGAGGUUUGCAGUUAUCCUUCAUGAACGAGGAAUUCCCAGUAAGUGCAAGUCAUAAGCUUGCGCUGACUACGUCCCUGCCCUUUGUACACACCGCCCGUCGCUACUACCGAUUGAAUGAUUUAGUGAGGACUUCGGACUGGGACCGAUGCGGCUUUCGGGCUGCGUCGGUAUUCUGGAAAGAUGUCCAAACUGUAUCAUUUAGAGGAAGUAAAAGUCGUAACA
rnacentral:rRNA from 1 species